rnacentral:rRNA from 1 species
GACGAACGCUGGCGGCGUGCCUAACACAUGCAAGUCGAACGGAAAGGCCCUGCUUUUGUGGGGUGCUCGAGUGGCGAACGGGUGAGUAACACGUGAGUAACCUGCCCUUGACUUUGGGAUAACUUCAGGAAACUGGGGCUAAUACCGGAUAGGAGCUCCUGCUGCAUGGUGGGGGUUGGAAAGUUUCGGCGGUUGGGGAUGGACUCGCGGCUUAUCAGCUUGUUGGUGGGGUAGUGGCUUACCAAGGCUUUGACGGGUAGCCGGCCUGAGAGGGUGACCGGCCACAUUGGGACUGAGAUACGGCCCAGACUCCUACGGGAGGCAGCGGUGGGGAGUAUUGCACAAUGGGCGGAAGCCUGAUGCAGCAACGCCGCGUGCGGGAUGACGGCCUUCGGGUUGUAAACCGCUUUCGCCUGUGACGAAGCGUGAGUGACGGUAAUGGGUAAAGAAGCACCGGCUAACUACGUG